GUGUUCGGAUUGCGGCGACGUGAGCGGUUCGCCGCCCGCGACGUCGCAAGAAGUCCACUGAACCUUAUCAUUUAGAGGAAGGAGAAGUCGUAACAAGGUUUCCGUAGGUGAACCUGCGGAAGGAUCAUUGUCGAAUCCUGCAAGCAACCGCGAACACGUUAUCAAAACGCACGGGGCGCGGGCGGACUUCUGUCUGCCGGCCCCGGACAAAACAAAACUUCCGGCGCGAAAAGCGCCAAGGACUACUAAAAUGGAUUGCUUGCGUCCUCCGGCGGCUUCCGCCGGACGGUCGCGCGCGUCAGAAUCGUAACCAACACGACUCUCGGCAACGGAUAUCUAGGCUCUCGCAUCGAUGAAGAACGUAGCGAAAUGCGAUACUUGGUGUGAAUUGCAGAAUCCCGUGAACCAUCGAGUUUUUGAACGCAAGUUGCGCCCGAAGCCAUCAGGCCGAGGGCACGUCUGCCUGGGCGUCACGCACCGUCGCCACCCUCCCCAAAGCGCCCGCGCUGGGGGACGGGUGACGGAUGUUGGCCUCCCGUGAACCUUGCGUCGCGGCCGGCCUAAAUCGUAGUCCUCCCCUCGGGACGUCACGGCAAGUGGUGGUCAGAAUCAUUUCUUACCUCGAUCCAAACCGUGGCCCAUACCGUUGCGGAGUGCUAUUAGACCUUGAGCCCUCGGGCUAUCGACCAUGACCC
rnacentral:misc_RNA from 1 species